UACGUAGGGUGCGAGCGUUAAUCGGAAUUACUGGGCGUAAAGCGUGCGCAGGCGGUUGUGCAAGACAGAUGUGAAAUCCCCGGGCUCAACCUGGGAACUGCAUUUGUGACUGCACAGCUAGAGUACGGUAGAGGGGGAUGGAAUUCCGCGUGUAGCAGUGAAAUGCGUAGAUAUGCGGAGGAACACCGAUGGCGAAGGCAAUCCCCUGGACCUGUACUGACGCUCAUGCACGAAAGCGUGGGGAGCAAACAGG
rnacentral:rRNA from 1 species